GACGGAGGGUGCAAGCGUUGUUCGGAAUUACUGGGCGUAAAGGGCGCGUAGGCGGUCUGUUAAGUUCGGUGUGAAAGCCCCCGGCUCACCUGGGGAACUGCGCCGGAAACCGACAGACUCGAGUACCGGAGAGGAGGGUGGAAUUCCUGGUGUAGCGGUGAAAUGCGUAGAUAUCAGGAGGAACACCGGUGGCGAAGGCGGCCCUCUGGACGGAUACUGACGCUGGAGGCGCGAAAGCGUGGGGAUCAAACGGG
rnacentral:rRNA from 1 species